GACGAACGCUGGCGGCGUGCCUAAUACAUGCAAGUCGAGCGAAUGGAAGGGAGCUUGCUCCCUGAAGUUAGCGGCGGACGGGUGAGUAACACGUGGGCAACCUGCCUGUAAGACUGGGAUAACUUCGGGAAACCGGAGCUAAUACCGGAUACGUUCUUUUCUCGCAUGAGGAAAGAUGGAAAGAUGGUUUCGGCUAUCACUUACAGAUGGGCCCGCGGCGCAUUAGCUAGUUGGUGGGGUAAUGGCCCACCAAGGCGACGAUGCGUAGCCGACCUGAGAGGGUGUUCGGCCAGACUGGGAAUGAGACACGGCCCAGACUCCUACGGGAGGCAGCAGUAGGAAAUCUUCCGCAAUGGACGAAAGUCUGACGGAGCAGCGCCGCGUGAGCGAAGAAGGCCUUCGGGUCGUAAAGCUCUGUUGUCAGGGAAGAACAAGUGCCAGAGUAACUGCUGGCACCUUGACGGUACCUGACCAGAAAGCCACGGCUAACUACGUGCCAGCAGCCGCAGUAA
rnacentral:rRNA from 1 species